rfam:Homo sapiens chromosome 9, GRCh38 reference primary assembly.
GCUGGGUGUGGUGGCGCAUGCCUGUAAUCCCAGCUACUCAGGAGGCUGAGGCAGGAGAAUCGCUUGAACCUGGGAGGCAGAGGUUGCAGUGAGCUGAGAUCGUGCCACUGCACUCCAGCCUGGGUGACAGAGCGAGACUCUGUCUCAA